GUCCACGCUGUAAACGAUGGGCGCUAGGUGUGGGGGGUUUUAAGUUCCCUCCGUGCCGCAGCUAACGCAUUAAGCGCCCCGCCUGGGGAGUACGGCCGCAAGGUUAAAACUCAAAGGAAUUGACGGGGGCCCGCACAAGCGGUGGAGCAUGUGGUUUAAUUCGACGCAACGCGAAGAACCUUACCUGGGCUUGACAUGUGGGGAAUCUCACGGAAACGUGGGAGUGCGUAGCAAUACGAACCCCAGCACAGGUGAUGCAUGGCUGUCGU
rnacentral:rRNA from 1 species